AGAUUAUGACAAGGACUCUACAGAGCUCUAUGGAGAAGGGCAGAAGAGAUGCAAACAGACUAAACACAGGACCCGACUCGCAACGACAACUACAAAAUGAUCAGAACCAAGAUCCUGAUGCACUGAAUUAUGCUGCCCUGAAUUUCACCUCCAAGAAAAAGGAGAGAAGAGGAGAGAAGGCGCUGGACUCCCAUGUAGUGUAUGCUGUUACAAG